GAGUUGAUCAAAGAAGAGUUUGGUGAGCACUGCAACUUUGAAGUGGACGAUGCAGUUCAAAAGUUGGAGAAAUUGGGAAUCAUUUCUCGGGAUACAAUUGGACGUUAUUACUGUGUUGGAUUAAAACGCGCCAAUGAGAUCAUAGGACCGACUACAGAGGAGCUUGUCCUGAAAGCGAGGCAGGGGGUCAAUCCUUGAGAAAUGAGAAGG
rnacentral:misc_RNA from 1 species